CCAAGACUACUCAUUCGUCUCUCUCUCUCUCUCUAAGAAAAUAGAGAUUUAAGAAAAGGAACCAAUAUAAAUAAGUGGAUGAAUUUUGGAAUUUAAUUGCUCGAGAGUUUGUAACGUAAAAGAAAGAAAAGGAAAAUACCCCUUUACCAGGAUAGUUCAGCAAAAAUAUGAAAUCCAAGAUAAGACUUACUUGCAUAAUUCUUAUCGCCUUACAGAUGAUAACACUCGAAAUAACCACAGGAAACUCCUUAGUGGCAAACACAAUGUCAACGGCAACAGAAGUCGAAAUAACCGCAGGAAAAUCCUCAGUGGCAAACACAAUGUCAACGGCAACAGAAGUCGAAAAAACCACAGGAGACUCCUCAGUGGCAAACAUAAUGUCAACGGCAACAGA